GGCUACCUGGCGCAAUGGUAGCGCGUUUGGCUUCGACGGCUCAACGGCAAUUUGCGAUAGGCACCAAAAGGUUGCAGGUUCGAGUCCUGCGGUGGUCA
rnacentral:tRNA from 1 species